ensembl:lncRNA PMS2P4 PMS1 homolog 2, mismatch repair system component pseudogene 4
GGGGCGCCUGUGGGAGUCGUGGAGGGAACUUUCCCAGGCCCCGAGGCGGAUCGGGUAUUGAGUCCAUGGAGCGAGCUGAGAGCUAGAGUACAGAACCUGCUAAGGCCAUCAAACCUAUCGAUCGGAAGUCAGUCCAUCAGAUUUGCUCUGGGCCGGUGGUACUGAGUCUAAGCACUGCGGUGAAGGAGUUAGUAGAAAACAGUCUGGAUGCUGGUGCCACCAAUAUUGAUCUAAAGCUUAAGGACUAUGGAGUGGAUCUCAUUGAAGUUUCAGACAAUGGAUGUGGGGUAGAAGAAGAAAACUUUGAAGGCUUAAAUGCCAAACCUUAGAUUUUAUGAUGACUCCUCAACCGUUUAGAUCUUGGUUAUCUCAGAGGGAUCAUCAGCUUUUUAAGAAAGUUUUGAGAGAAAAGCAAGUGAAGAAAAACAUAGUCAAUGCUCAACAUCACGGGUCUCUCACUGAACACACCACACCUGGUAUUCUCUCACAGCGAUGUCACCAUUUCUACCUGCCACGCAUCGGCGAAGGUUGGGACUCGACUGGUGUUUGAUCACGAUGGGAAAAUCAUCCAGAAAACCCCCUACCCCCACCCCAGAGGGACCACAGUCAGCGUGAAGCAGUUAUUUUCUACACUACCUGUGCACCAUAAGGAAUUUCAAAGGAAUAUUAAGAAGACGUGCCUGUUUCCCCUUCGCCUUCUGCCGUGAUUGUCAGUUUCCUGAGGCCUCCCCAGCCAUGCUUCCUGUACAGCCUGCAGAACUGAUGGCCGUAUAAGAAAAUAAACAACUUGCUAAAACUGCUGAAACUCCCUCUGCUUGUGAGAUUUAAAAAAACUGGCUGAAAUUGGUUGGAACCAACAUGUCCAAUGGAGUCUGAAUAGAAAGAGCUUGCUGACAUCACAGCCCGAAUUUCCACCACAUUUCAUACUAACUCCCCCUGAAUUUGCAUAUGCAAACCACAAGCAAGCAUGAUCAAACAGACAACUGCGCGUGUCCGAGGACUUUCCAGAUCUCCCCUUUCCUUCCACCAAUCACUUACUAAUCUGAGAAUCCAUCCCCUAAUAAAAUCACUGCCUUAAAGCCUGCACAGGAAGACAAAUUUGA